GGCCCUGUAGCUUAGCCUGGUAGAGCGCUGGUCUUAUAAGCCAGAGGUCCUGGGUUCAAAUCAAGUGUCACGCCACUUGGGAGGCGGGGCGACUGCGCUCAUUGCAUUCGCUUAGUCACCUAGAAUAAUCGCGACAACUUAUGAAAUUCCCGGCAGGGCCA
rnacentral:tRNA from 1 species